UCUUACAAUCAUUUUAUAGAUCUCACUUUGUAAAGCCAUGGAAGGAGUGUCUUCAGCAGCCAUCGAAGUUCUUAUCCAAAACCUGAUCAACGUUUUUAAGGAUGAGUACUCUCUACUUCGAGGUCUCGAUGAAGAUGCCCAGCAGCUGCAGAGGACUCUGGGGAUGAUUCAAGCCUACUUGAAUGACGCUGAGAAGAAAUCAUCACCCAAGAUGCUGUCAAGAUCUGGCUGAGGGAGCUUGAAGCUGUGGCUUUCGAUGCCGACAAUGUCUUGGAUGAACUCAGCUAUCAUCUUCUCCACAAAAAAGCACACAAGAUGAAAUCAUCCAAGGAUAAGGUACUCUCAUGCUUCUCAUCCUUUAAUGGUAUUUCACAUCGGCGUAAUAUGGCUCACACAAUCAAACAAAUCAAUGCUACUUUUGAGUGUAUGAACAAAAGGGCAACAGAUCUUGGCCUUCAAAGCAUGGUUGUGAAUGCACCUGCUAUUGCUCAUACUUCCAUCGAGACAGAUUCGUUCAGUCUUGAUCCAAUCUUUAUUGGAAGAGAUGAUGAUGUUCCUAAACUAGUUGACAUGCUCACUCAGACCCAACCAGUGGAAGAGAAACGGGUGUUCUCCAUUGUUGCUCUAGUGGGAAUGGGGGGUAUGGGGAAAACUACGUUGACUAGAAAAAUCUUUAAUUAUGAAAGGGUAAAGGCUCGAUUCGGAUCACGAAUUUGGGUUCAUGUUUCUCAGACUUUUGAUGCAAUUAGUCUUUUCAACAAAAUACUCUACAAGGUGACUAACAAGGCUAGUGAUGGAGUUGAGAGCAGAGAUAAUAUCCUAGAAAAGCUUCAAGAAGCUCUAAAGGGUAAAACUUAUCUCCUUGUUCUUGAUGAUGUAUGGAAUGAUGAUGUUUCAAAAUGGGAAGGCUUUAUAAACUCCAUAUUGGGAGUUACUUCCACUAACGGAAAUGGCAUUAUCAUCACCACCAGGAGUGAAAAAGUUGCUUCUAUUGUUAACCCAUUUCAUAUUCAUCAUUUGAAUGGCUUAACAGAUGAAGAUUGUUGGUCCAUAAUCAAGGCCAAAACCUUUCAUAAAAAUGGUGAAGUUCCAUCAGGAUUUGAGAUGAUUGGAAGAAAGAUUGCAAAAAGAUGUCAAGGUUUGCCGUUAGCUGCCAAUAUAGUCGGGGGAGUGCUUCGUGGUAAGUCCGAAGAAGAGUGGCGCUCCAUCAAUAAAAAUUGGCUUUCAGAUGCUGAAGGAGGUGAAAAUAUCUCAAAUAUAUUGAAAUUGAGCUUUGAUCACCUGUCCUCACCGUCGCUCAAGAAGUGCUUCACGUUUUGUUCGGUUUUCCCCAAAGGUUUGGAAAUCUAUAAGGAAGAGUUGAUUGAACUAUGGAUGGCAGAAGGGUUUGUUCAACCUACCCGAAGAGAUGACAUGGAGUCUAUGGGUAACAUGUUUUUUAAUGUGCUUCUACAAAACUCUUUGUUGCAAGUUUUACUGAGAGAUGAUUAUGGAGAUGUUAGGACAUGUGUGAUGCAUGAUCUUGUGCAUGAUCUUGCAUCUUCAGUCUCAUCCAAUAUUGCAGAUGACAGUACCAUAGUUCGGUACAUGUUUCUCAAAGAAGAAUCCAUUUCUAUUCCAAAAAAAGUUGCCAGACAUUUGCGUACAUUAUUCUUGGAAGGUGGAACUUCUGGUACUAUAUUCUCAAACUUUGAAUGUCUGCAUAAUCUGACUCUUUCUGGUGAUUAUAAAGAGUUUCCCUAUUCAAUUAGCGAGUUGGUGCAUUUGAGAAAUCUGAAUAUUUAUGAUACAACAAUUGUAAACUUGCCGAAAUGGAUUGGUGAACUCCACCACUUGCAAACAUUAAGAGCAUGCUUGGUGUUUGAGAAUCUGCCAACUACGUUGAAGUAUAUGUUUAACUUAAGACAUCUUUAUAUCAGUUAUAAUACAAAGUUGCCGGCAGAGAUUGGGAGAUUAACUAGACUCCAAACACUGCCUUACUUCACAGUAGGCAAAGAGAAGGGCUUCCAUAUUGAAGAGCUCGGAUGUUUGAAGAAUCUCAAGGGAUCACUACUGAUUAGUAAUCUGCAAAAUGUGCGUGAUAAGGAAGAGGCUCUGAAAGCAGAUAUAUUUCAGAAACCAAACUUAUUUGAUUUGGCGUUUACAUGGAGUGAUGGUAGAAAAGAUGAAACAAAUGAUGAGAGUGUAUUGGAAGGCCUCCAACCUCAUUCAAAUCUGAAAAAGUUGAUGAUUUCAGGAUUCAAAGGCAAAAGGUUUCCAACAUGGACUGAGAAGAUGGCAAUACGUGAUGGGCCUCAAGGAUCUUGGGUACCACUUGAUAACUUGAUUGAAAUAAAACUCUUUGGGUGUUCGGAAAUUGUGGAAAUCCCAACGCUGGAGCACUUGCCUAAUCUUAAGUCUCUUUCUUUGAAUGGAUUGAAGAAGGUGAGGCUCAUAAAUGCUUCGUUCAAUCAUUUAACAUCACUCGAAAUAGAAGAGUUAGAUCGAUUGGAUUGUCUGCCAGAAUGGAUAUUCUAUAAAAAUCAGGAUCUCCAAUAUUUGAAUAUAUCAAAUUGUCUUGUGUUGAGAGAAUUACCAGAUGGCUUGGACACCCUCAAUUCUCUGAUGGCGUUGGAUAUUCGGGAUUGUGAAAAUCUGAUGUCGAUUGGGAAUCCAAGUGGCGGAGCAAGACAAUCACAGGGGAUCCUCUGUUGGCUGAGUAUUGCAGAGUGCGGAGAGCUGAUGGAAUUUCCAUGUCAAAUGCUAGAGUCGUGGGCCCCUACAGUUGAGCUUCUUCGAUUGGAGGGAUUAAGGAGGCUAAAGAAUCUACCAAUGCUAAUUGACUGCCUCGCUAAAUCAUCUCUUCGCCUCGAAGAAUUGACAAUCAAAGGUGUUCCUAAAUUGAUGGCUGCUAGUAUUGGUAGUGGUAGUGUUGAGAGUUGGGAUCUUAGCAGCUUGAAAUGUUUAAGCAUAGAUGUGAGUGUGGAAUGGUCAAGAGAGGAUAGUGUUGGCAUUGCAGAGACUGUGGAAUGGAUGCUGCGAGGAUGCUGCAACUCACUUGAUUACUUAUAUUUGAGUGGUUGCCCCAAUCAUUGGGAGUGGUUGCCCCAAUCAAUUCAAAAUCUCACUGUUCUUGUUGAGUUAAAGUUGGAGAAUAUAGGAGUAGAAGAAUUGCCCCAAUGGUUGGGGAACCUCUCAUCUCUAAAAAAGUUAUAUCUACUUAGUUGCAACAAGUUGAAGCGUCUUCCCUCUGUGGAUGCAUUGAAGCACCUCACCAAAUUAGAAGAGCUAUAUAUUAAAGAUUGCCCGGAACUACAGAUUGAUUCAGAGUGGCGCGACCACCAUGGCCAUCUGAAAAUCAAUGUUUGAAUUUUGUUGCUAGUAUAGUUUAUGUGAACUCAGGAGUAAGACAGAUGGGGUCGUCAUUGUCAUCUGUAUCAUUGAGCCUAUCAUCCUCGUCUUUGCGAUCACUAUUCCAAUUUCAACAGCCCAGAGAAGAAGACCAUGAGUAUCCUAGUGUUGGAUAUUCCCCAUAAAUUUUAACCCUAUUUAUAAACUUACCAAGAAACUAACAUCCUGUUAUUGGCAUCCCCUAACAGCAAUCAUAUGCACCGGUAUGUAUCUCCACCCUCCAUCCACUCUGCUUCGUCUUUCAGCAUCUCGUUUCUGUGGGAAAACAGUAUGCAGCAGCAACUACUCCACUUGACAGACUUGCAGUUGGUCCUUCACUUUCUUGGUUUCAGGGCUUCAUCGUGUUUCCCUCUGCCAUGGAAGAAACAAGAUCCUCGCGCGAUUGAGAUCUCCUGCUCUGGAGACGCGUUUGGCUUCUGCUCUGGAGAUGUCGU